AAGAAGGCAAAAUCUCCCUGCUUAUCAGUGAAGGUUGGUUAAAGUUUUACCCUUGUGUUCCUUCCUCCUUUGUGUUAAACUUUCCUGGUUCUGUAAAUUUAAAAAAGUUUCAAUUUUUUGAAACUUGGGGAGCUUGAAAACUGGUGUUUUACUUUUUUUUUAGAACUGUUGCAGAACUUCUGCUCUGUUAACUCUUGUGUGUUGGUGAUCGUUUGGAAUUUUAGGAUCUUGAUUGAUUCUAGCGAGUGUGGAGCCAGAAAGAGCCUAGCUGAAAUUACCACAGCUUGAAAGUAGCAGCAGUUACUAGUUAUCUAUAACUAUGACCAUGCGCACAGGGAUUGUUGCAUUCGAAAGGGAAUACGGACUCUGGCUAGAAGAGCAGAACAUGAGAGUUAGUGAAAUUCGAACAGCCCUCCAAGCUCAUAUGAGUGACACUGAACUCAGAAUGUUAGUAGAAUCUUGCUUGGACCACUACGCAAAUCUCUUCCGCAUCAAAGCUGAUGCUACAAGGAUUGAUGCGUGAUGGUAUCAGGCAUGUGGCGAACUUCGACUGAGCGUUUCUUUCAGUGGUUUGGAGGUUUCCGCACAUCCGAGCUGUUACAUGUUAACUUCAUUUGUUGUUGUGGAUUUUGACCUUUAUGUUAUAUAGUCAUUUCAGUACUCUUUAAAGCACUUAAAAUUGUUUUCCUAUUGGUUUUUCAGGUUGUGAUGCCAUAUCUUAAGCCGCUAACCUUUCAGGUUCUCUCUCUCAAGGGAUAUAUAAGUUAAAGAUGGCUUUGGCUGAAAGAAUAGCAACUGAAAUAACAGUUGUUGAGUCCACGAAUUAUGAGGCUCAAAUGGCUGCAACCAAGGAUAUUCUUGAAGCAUUGCAGGGUUUCGUGAACCAGGCAGAUCAUAUUAGGCAGCAAAAUCUGCAGCAGAUGAAUAAGAUCUUGACAACUAGACAGGCCGCUUGGGGUCUGCUCGCUCUAGGAGAGUACUGAUACGUAUGAGCAGCAACAUCCUCCUAUUCUCUAUCAUUACCAAAGAAAGAAGAGAAGCCCAAGUGGCUAGGAAUCCAAUAACAUAGAUCCAAUAGGUCCAAGAGGAAGUAGCAGGCCUUUUGAUGGGUUGUUCUAGUUUAAUAUGAAUAAGGUCAUUGUCCUACGGUACUGUGGCCACAACGGCUUUUUGGUGUAGAGACAAGGGAACAUUAGGGUAU